AAGCAUUUAAUGGCCCAUUUGUUUGGUCCAAACUAAAACAUACAAAUAUAGAUAGGGAGAAAAUCGGGGCAAUAUAAUACAUUCCAAAAGGGGAAAGCCAAUUUAACUUUCUGGAGCAGAGAGUUACGCGAGAGAAAGAGUCCGACAUUUCAGCUCUUCUUGCCAAAGGAUCGAGGCUCGUUUGUAGUCCGAUUUUCUUGAUAUUUCAGUAUGUUAUUCUUGGCAAAGAUACCUACAUUUUGACCGGAGCUGAUCGUCGAAAUUCUUCUCCAUUCCUCUGGGCUAUACACACUUGUCUAGUGAGAUUUUCUCCUUAUUAUUGUGUGUAUUUAUUUUGGAUGAUGUUGUUGUUGAUAUCCAAGAACUACAUGUGUUCUUGAUGUAUUUGGUAGCCUCUAGAGUUUACUUUGGAGAGGGUUAAAUUGUGUAUCCCAUUAUUCAUAUAGUGGAAGGCUUUACUGGACUAGGUCCCGGGGUUUUACCUUCACGUUGAAGGGUUUCCCUAGUGAACAAAUAUUGGUGUUGUUAUCUUUACAUUUCUGCCAGUGUGUGUGAGUUGGAGCCGGUGUUAUUUUACUGCCAUUUUAAUUCUACAUAAUAGGGGGAUUGUGUAAUUGUAUUCCGCUGCGUGGUUGUGUUAUUGGUUCAAUCCCCAACA
rnacentral:lncRNA from 1 species